rnacentral:rRNA from 1 species
AGCAGCCGCGGUAAUUCCAGCUCCAAUAGCGUAUAUUAAAGUUGUUGCAGUUAAAAGCUCGUAGUUGAAUUUUAGGCCUGGCCGGGCGGUCCGUCUUUGGCGAGUACUGUCCUGUGUCGGGUCCACCUUCUGGUGAACCAGUAUGUCCUUUAUUGGGUGUUUUGGGGAGCCAGGACCAUUACCUUGAAAAAUUAGAGUGUUUAAAGCAGGCAUUUGCUUGAAUAGAUUAGCAUGGAAUAAUAGAGUAGGACGUUGUGGUUCUAUUUUGUUGGUUUCUAGGACCACCGUAAUGAUUAAUAGGGAUAGUUGGGGGCAUUAGUAUUCAAUUGUCAGAGAUGAAAUUCUUGGAUUUAUUGAAGACUAACUAUUGCGAAAGCAUUUGCCAAGGAUGUUUUCAUUAAUCAAGAACGAAAGUUAGGGGAUCGAAGACGAUCAGAUACCGUCGUAGUCUUAACCAUAAACUAUGCCGACUAGGAAUCGGGCGACGUAUUUUCAUGACUCGCUCGGCGCCUUAUGGGAA